rnacentral:rRNA from 1 species
UGUAUAAUGGGUCAGCGACUUAUAUUCUGUAGCAAGGUUAACCGAAUAGGGGAGCCGAAGGGAAACCGAGUCUUAACUGGGCGUUAAGUUGCAGGGUAUAGACCCGAAACCCGGUGAUCUAGCCAUGGGCAGGUUGAAGGUUGGGUAACACUAACUGGAGGACCGAACCGACUAAUGUUGAAAAAUUAGCGGAUGACUUGUGGCUGGGGGUGAAAGGCCAAUCAAACCGGGAGAUAGCUGGUUCUCCCCGAAAGCUAUUUAGGUAGCGCCUCGUGAAUUCAUCUCCGGGGGUAGAGCACUGUUUCGGCAAGGGGGUCAUCCCGACUUACCAACCCGAUGCAAACUGCGAAUACCGGAGAAUGUUAUCACGGGAGACACACGGCGGGUGCUAACGUCCGUCGUGAAGAGGGAAACAACCCAGACCGCCAGCUAAGGUCCCAAAGUCAUGGUUAAGUGGGAAACGAUGUGGGAAGGCCCAGACAGCCAGGAUGUUGGCUUAGAAGCAGCCAUCAUUUAAAGAAAGCGUAAUAGCUCACUGGUCGAGUCGGCCUGCGCGGAAGAUGUAACGGGGCUAAACCAUGCACCGAAGCUGCGGCAGCGACACUAUGUGUUGUUGGGUAGGGGAGCGUUCUGUAAGCCUGUGA